rnacentral:rRNA from 1 species
UACAGAGGUCCCAAGCGUUGUUCGGAUUCACUGGGCGUAAAGGGUGCGUAGGCGGUCGGGUAAGUCAGACGUGAAAUCCCUCGGCUCAACCGGGGAACUGCGUCUGAUACUGGAUGGCUUGAAUUCGGGAGAGGGAUGCGGAAUUCCAGGUGUAGCGGUGAAAUGCGUAGAUAUCUGGAGGAACACCGGUGGCGAAGGCGGCAUCCUGGACCGAGAUUGACGCUGAUGCGCGAAAGCCAGGGGAGCAAACGGG